UGUAUGUCAUAAAAAUUAGGGUAAACUUUAAAUACCAUUUUUGUGAUUUCGUACUUUCUCACGUUAAUACCCUAUGAUUUAAAUUGUACCAAGUUAGUGUCAUGUGGUUUUAUUUUUAUCUUUUCGCUAGUUUUUUCGUUAAUAUUUCGUUAAAUUAUAUAAAAAAAAACUUCAGAUAUUCCACCUAUAGUUUAUCAAAUAUUCACUUUAGUACUCUUUAGUUUUAAUUUUGUCACUGAUUUAAUGAAAAAAAAUAGUGAAAUCGAUAAUAAAAAAAUAUAAAUAAAACCACUGGCACUAAAUUAAUACACUUUAAAUU
rnacentral:lncRNA from 1 species